rnacentral:lncRNA from 1 species
AACUAUGGAACGCCGUUUGUAGCAGCGAAAACAGACACCCCUUUUUUCUUUCGCACCCCUCUUUGUCUCGUUGUCUGCUUUAGUCGUCUGCUAACCGUUGCCAGCCCACACAGCUGACUGCUCAGGGCUCACAACAGUCGGAAGCCAUUCAUCGAGCCAUUCACGUGCUCAUUGUAAUUAUCAGAAGGAGCAUGCAGUUUUAACUGUGUUUUACCUGUAGUCCAGGAGUGAUUAUUCUUAAAGACAUUUCAUUAAAAUAUAAGAUAAAUUGUGAUUUCAACAUCGAGGAAGAACCGCGUUCUUUUUGGAAAGCAUUAAGGCUUUUUGUGUUCCUGUCAACUAUUGGGCAACUUGUCACUUUUCAAGACACCAGUUAUCAUCAGUGUUAUACUUUUUAUUUGUGACAACUACUGGCCUGCUUGCUUUUUAGUGAUGGAACCAAUGAAUAUUCCAAUAUCUCAGGAAAAACUCUUACAACUUGUUGACUGGGAUUUUUCAGUAAAACAUAUGGCAAAAUGGUUCGGGGUGUCCCGCUGGACAAUACUCAGAAAACUAAAGCAAUUCAAAAUUUCUCGAAAGAAAUUUUCUAAUAUUGAUGAUUGUGACCUCAUGCAAGUCAUAGCAAAUGUCUUGGCUGAUAAACCAAAUAUGGGAGGAGAUGUAUAUCUGAGACACCACCUCAAAACAAAUGUAGGUGUCUUUGUCCAACGAUGGCGUAUAAGAAAAUGUGUUCAUGAAAUCUUAAAGGAAAGGAGAAUGUUGGUGUUGCUCAUUUGAUGUUCCUUACAAGGGGUGGUAAUCGGGCCAGUUUCAUCAGCGGUCGGUCAGUUCACAACACCAGAAUUGAACGAAUAUGGAGGGAAGUGUUACGUGUUGCCCUAUCCUCUUUCAGAGAAUUAUUCUAUCUUAUGGAAGGUGAAGGAAUCCUGGACGUUUCGAACAACAUGGACAUAUUUUCACUACAUUUUGUUUUCCGAUCCCUGAUUGAAAAAUCUUUAGAUGAAUUCUGUGCUAUGUGGGACUCCCACAAACUCCGCACCGAGGGUUUAUCUCCCAUUCAACUAUUCACUUUAGGAAUAGAAGAAUUGAAAAGACGAUCCUUGGUAGACGGGAAAAGCUAUACAGAAUUGCAGCAAUUUGAUGUCGACAUGCAACUUGUAAAUACCAUACAAAAUCAUUGCAUCAGAGGAGUUCGUGGUGUCAAAGUGCCUGAUAUUGUCUGUCCAUCUGAAGAUACCUUGGCGGAAUUGAGAAACCAUUUCCCAAUCACUAAAAUUACAUUUGAAAAUUCCGUAGAAACGUACCUUUCCUUCCGCUAUGUACUGAACGCAAUGAGUAACGUUUAGACGUUAUGUAUGGUACUGUUCUCAUAAUAUACGGGAAAUCGAUGAAAAA